UCCGUUCAGAGACCAAACAAACGCCACCCUACUUCUCCCACCGCUUUAGGGUGGCGGCGUUACCUCCAAACACCACUAAAAUCACACCUUAAGACCUCCAUAGCCUCCUUUUUCCCAAUAUAUCAUUCGUUUCCCUCGAACCCGUCCAGAGUUCCUCAAAUCUUGAAUCUUGGUUCAAGCCGAAAAAGUUCAAAACCAACUUCCGUUGAAAUGGGGUAGCAUGCAUCGACUCCAGCCUUUGUUCCUCGCGAUUAAAGGACCAAUUCACCACAAAACUAAUGUUGAUCGUUUGUUCUUGAAAAAGAAACAAUGAUUAGUAUCGGUUUCAUGUGAAUCAGUAUAUCAAGUGUAAUUCCAAGUUUAAUCGAUGAUUUUUAACAAUCUUUGUAUCCAUUUUUGGUUUUAUUUCGCAUGUUUGAUCUUCUUAUUUUCUUUUCCUUUUUAUUUGAAACCUGACCAAUUCUCCGAGUAUAAAUUAUUUCCAUUUGGGUGUUUCCUCCAUCUCUUUUUUUAAAUUAAUUGUAAAAGAAAAAGGGGGAGAAGAAAGUUUGUUCUAUGAUUUGCUUAGCAUGUUGAAUUUUAUCCAGAUCUCUGAU
rnacentral:lncRNA from 1 species